rnacentral:tRNA from 1 species
GCAGUGAUAGUUCAGUGGUAGAAUUCUCACCUUCCAUGCAAGACACCUGGGCUCGAUUCCCAGCCAAUGCA